rnacentral:rRNA from 1 species
AUUGAACGCUGGCGGCAGGCCUAACACAUGCAAGUCGAACGAGUGGCGGACGGGUGAGUAAUGUCUGGGAAACUGCCUGAUGGAGGGGGAUAACUACUGGAAACGGUAGCUAAUACCGCAUACCAUCGGAUGUGCCCAGAUGGGAUUAGCUUGUUGGUGGGGUAACGGCUCACCAAGGCGACGAUCCCUAGCUGGUCUGAGAGGAUGACCAGCCACACUGGAACUGAGACACGGUCCAGACUCCUACGGGAGGCAGCAGUGGGGAAUAUUGCACAAUGGGCGCAAGUCGGAUGCAGCCAUGCCGCGUGUAUGAAGAAGGCCUUCGGGUUGUCAAGUACUUUCAGCGGGGAGGCGUUCCCAGCAGAAGAAGCACAGGCGAACUCCGAGCCAGCAGCCGCGGUAAUAC